rnacentral:rRNA from 1 species
UACGAAGGUGGCAAGCGUUGUUCGGAUUUACUGGGCGUACAGGGAGCGUAGGCGGUUGGAUAAGCCCUCCGUGAAAUCUCCAGGCUUAACCUGGAAAGUGCAGAGGGGACUGUUCAGCUAGAGGAUGGGAGAGGAGCGCGGAAUUCCCGGUGUAGCGGUGAAAUGCGUAGAGAUCGGGAGGAAUACCGAUGGCGAAAGCAACCGUCUGGGCCUGAACUGACACUGAGACACGAAAGCGUGGGGAGCAAACAGGG